UCGUGUGCCUAUACUGCAAGUCGAACGUGCAAUACGAAAGUAGCAAUACUUUUGUAACGCAAGUGGCGAACGGGUGAGUAACGCGUGGGUAAUCUGCCCAAAAGAUUGGGAUAACCUCCCGAAAGGGAUGCUAAUACCGAAUAUGCUAUAUUUUUUUAAUAUUUAUAUAGUAAAGGUAGCCGCAAGGCUUCUGCUUUUGGAUGAGCCCGCGUCCUAUUAGCUUGUUGGUAAGGUAAAAGCUUACCAAGGCUAUGAUGGGUAGCCGGCCUGAGAGGGCGAUCGGCCACACUGGGACUGAGAUACGGCCCAGACUCCUACGGGAGGCAGCAGUAGGGAAUAUUGCGCAAUGGGCGAAAGCCUGACGCAGCAACACCGUGUGUAGGAUGAAGGUCUUCGGAUCGUAAACUACUGUCGGUUGAGGACGAAGGUAGUAGAGUUAAUAGCUCGAAUACUGACGGUACUCAAUGAGGAAGUCUCGGCUAACUCCGUGCCAGCAGCCGCGGUAAGACGGAGGAGGCUAGCGUUGUCCGGAAUUAUUGGGCGUAAAGAGCACGUAGGCGGUUUCAUAAGUCGUGUGUGAAAACUUUGGGCUUAACUCAAAGAUUGCAUUCGAUACUGUGAAGCUUGAGUGCAGUAGAGGAAAGUGGAAUUCCUGGUGUAGCGGUGAAAUGCGCAGAUAUCAGGAAGAACACCAGUGGCGAAGGCGGCUUUCUGGACUGUUACUGACGCUGAGGUGCGAAAGCUAGGGGAGCGAACAGGAUUAGAUACCCUGGUAGUCCUAGCCGUAAACGAUGGAUACUACGGUGUGGGAAGUUAUCGAUGCUUUCUGUGCCGAAGCUACGCAUAGUAUCCCGCCUGGGGGAGUACGGCCGCAGCUAAACUCAAAGGAAUUGACGGGGCCCGCCACAAGCCG
rnacentral:rRNA from 1 species